CUUUAAUGGUGAGAUACAAUGAUCAAGUUUUAAAUAAAGACGUCUCUGGAGAAAGAAAAUGGAAGUUUAACUAAGGAUUCUCUCACGCUGAUUAAGGGUUGUGUGACAGUCUGCAGAGCCACUACCCUGCCCUGCCUCUGUGCUCAACAGUAGUCUUUAAUAGUGAGAGAUGGCUCUUUCAGUCACUCCACCCGGCCAAUGGGAAGCCGCUAGCCCCGGGCUGCAGGGGAUCAGCCAAUGGGGUGAGCUCUAGCCCAGUCACCUGACAAAAUCUGCUCCUGUCCAUCAGCAUAGUCGUAUAUAGUUCAUUACAAGACACAGACAGGGCUGUUUGGAGUGUGGUGCGGUGGAGUACUCUUUGUGCCUUCAGUGUGCUUUGUGUGUGUGUCUGUAUGUGUGUGUGUGUGUGUCCUCGACUGCAGGAGACUUAAGUAUGAGAGCAUGACAGAGGAAGAAAAGAGGGAAAGAGAGAGACAGAGAGAAAGAAAAAGAUUGAAAGACAGAGACAGAAAGAAAACAUCCCGUCCAACUCCUCAGUCAGCAUACGCUCGUCGGAACUUCUGAUUUCUACAUGGUUAUGGAGCCUACUUUUUUAUUUUUCCUUUAUAUAAUUUUUUUUAAAGUUUAUUACUUUUUUAGAUUCACUUGAAGAAAGAACAACCAAAAAAGAUUUCAGUGACUUUACUGAGGCAUUUUGUGCGCUCUCACAGAGGACUGCUCACAGGAAGCCGAGACUGGGGUUCAACUCAGGGUAACGGGAGCAGUGCAGCACAAAAGCUCCAAAAUCCCUGAAUGAUUCACCGCGCAGCUCCCCGCAAACACGCUUUUGCCAUCAGGCUGGCUGGGUAAUUGGCUCUCAGAGUGGGGGAGCAGGGGGUCUUGCCGCUGUCUCCUCCCCCAACCCCCCCCCCCCCCUGGUGAGCUGAGAGCUUUGGUAAGAUGUGGGUCGAUGGGUACACUAUGCAUUUUUUAGAUGAUCGGUGGUCGGAAUGUUGUCAGAUGCUCUCAGUGUCUUCUAUGGCAUCCUGUUCAAGGUGGAGUGUAUACAUAUACAGUACACGUCCAUCUGACUUUCAUUUUCCUUAAAUGUUCUUUCCUUGUUCUAUCAAUCAUAAUUGCAAAAUGACCACAAACGGAGACCCAACAGAGCCUUCAAGUCAGUGCUGAAUGAAAGUUGAGCAGAGGCACUAGGCACUAAAAUUCAGCUUUUUAUUAACAAUUUUUUUAUAAGCACAUGAACCUGUUUGAGUUGAAUUAUCUGGCGCCUUCGGUGAACAUUCAACGCUGUCGGUGAGUUUGAGCCUUUGAUAUAAACCAUCGACCGUUGACUGUACCCCGAGGGGGCUGCCGUCUCUUCUCCUCCCGGCGAGGCAGGAAGCAGCCGGUGAACAUGAAGUCUCGUAGAGGCAGCCAUCUCGAGAGACCCGCCGCUGAGUCAGUUUGGGGUUUCACAAAGCUGCCAUAAUGGCUGCAAUAAACAUUCAUUGCUGUCGGUGGGUUUCCCAUGGAUACAACUCACCGGUCAAUGAAUGCAAACUGCGGUGCUAACACCACAGGGCUUCCUCCAGAUCAGAUGGUGACUACGCUGGAAAACUGAUAAGUGGGAAAAUGGGGCUCCCACACUCUCCCCACCUCCAACCCUGAUGAUGGAGUCAGCACCAAAUUAUUGCUGUUGUGGAGGAGGGAGUAUCCUGGACUCCCCUGACUUCAAGAUAAGGUAAAUACAACUUCCAGUCGUAAUGAUUUACUUCAGUUGUUGUUCUAGUUAAUCCUGGGCACUGACCCGAGAACAGCCCAAUAGUCCCGUACUGCUGUUUAAAGUGCUUUGCUUUCUCAUUUCAAGCCUCAUUGUGUGAUUACUUCUAUGAAACCAUAAUGAUUCCAGGCCAUGUUCAGGACAGUAAAAAAGCACUUCUGUGAAAAUCUACAAUCAUUUACAGUUACUGUGCUCUGUGUCAAUUAUAGUCUAUUCAAAGCAAUGGCUGAUUUUGUUUCACAAGCAAGUCAGACGAGGGAUCCACAAAACAUUGUGAAAAUAUGCGUUUAUUUACAGCAUAACUAAUGUCACUUUGUUAUGUUUGACCCACUACGGCACUGUCUAUUUAGUCUUAGUCUUCCUGCCAUGUACAAAUGCAGGCCCUGGACUCCGAUUGGAACUUUCAUGUCAUUAAAAUCAUUAUUUGUUUAGAUGAAAUAAAUCAGAAGAUGGGAGUUUACUGGCAAAUAAGUGUCACCACCGUCCUGAAAGGGAGAGAAAAUAUUUAUUUCCCCAUAUUUGUCCAUCACCAAGCACACGGUCACACUCCCUACUGUGGUUUUCUCCCCUCAGACACCAUGACGCAUUUAGAAUCAAAACAAAAAGUCAUGUGGAAAUGUUCUCACCAAACCCAUAAAUGAACCAAACGGAUUGGAUGUGCUGCAGUCGAGCUAAAAGAGUUCAGCAGCUGAACCCCUUGACUCUGCUCUGCUGUAGAUGUGUGUUUUCAACAUGGUGAAGAGCGCCCCAUGCCUUCAUGCUGAUAGGCCUGUAAAUGGCCGUGGAUGUUGAAAUGAAAGCAGGCUUUGCCCUGGAAACACAGAUGUGAUCAUUUAAUGGACCUUGACCUGGGAGCCUGGCAGAGCACCAGAUUACUGAUGUUACAGAUAACACCGUUUGUAGUGCUCGCACUAGUCCAAUUACCAUGAGCUUGUGUCCUAAAGGUGAAAUGUGACUUUUUUUCAGUGGUAUGUGAGUGUGUGAGAAUGUGUUUUUCAAACUAGUGAUUCUGACCCCACUCUGUAAGCUACAAAUCUCCAGAAACCAUACAGAGUGUUCACGCUAUCAUUAUACUAAAAUAACAGCUCCUAAAAUAGAUCUUGACUCAGCAAAAACAUCCUGCUUUAGAGAAAUGAGUCAUCUGAAGCUGAGCUACCACCUUCUCUGAAUGGGUAGUUUUUUCUUUUCAGUUUCACUUGAUUUUGACCUCCACAAAUGAAAUGUGAAACAAUCAGCUCAGUCAGUGCCUGAAAAGACCAUUUCCCUUCUUUUUUUUCUUUUGUCGAGCCAGAGCUGAUAGAAUCAUCUGGAAACAAUCCCGCGGUAAUUGCCCUGUAAAGUUUUCUUAGCAUGCUGGGAAAUUUCAGACAUUGACAUUUUCCAGUCAGUCUAAACCAAGGCCCUCUCUCUCUCACCCACCCACCAACCUUUAUCCAGGCCCUUUCGUAUCAAUGGUAAGUGUCAUACAUAAAACAAGCACCUGGCUAUGUUUCUGUAUAUGCAUGGACAGCAUAAAAAGACCUUCACACAGAACACUCCUCCUUAGUCAUAUGUUACUUUAAUGCCUACACUUUUGAACUUACUUAACAUAGAAGGCUGCAUGAAGAUACCCCAUUGUCAACUCCAUUAGCGAACAGAAUAUAAACAGAAAUUAUUUUGGUCAGAUAAUUCCUCUGAUGUGAGUUUAAGAGUCAGCAAUUUAACCAUGUAAAAGUUUACAGCAUUUGGGAUGUGCAAUGUAGCUAGAGGAACAUCCAUACGUAAUGCACAGUAGCACAGUUUAGCAUCCUCUGUCAUUAGCUACACUGAUGUUACAGGAACUGACAAGAGGAACAAUCUGACCCAUUUCUGCAUGACCUGGAAACAUUCCAACGCUGUGACCCCUCCAGUCAAACACAGGCGCAAGGUGCUCCAAGCAAAAGAGGAAAACAACAAAUGAGAUAACUUAGAAACCAUGAAGUGGAACAAAGAACUGCAUAUACACAUAUUCAAAGGUGAAAAAUAUAGAAACUGAAAAAAAUACUAUACUGUACUGAAAAAAACACACAAGUGCUUAAUAAAAAUGUGCAAUAUCCAAAUUACUAUUAA